UAAUACGGAGGGUGCAAGCGUUAAUCGGAAUUACUGGGCGUAAGGCGCGCGUAGGCGGAUGAUUAAGUCGGAUGUGAAAGCCCAGGGCUCAACCUUGGAACUGCAUCCGAUACUGGUGAUCUAGAGUACGGUAGAGGGGGGUAGAAUUUCUUGUGUAGCAGUGAAAUGCGUAGAUAUAAGAAGGUAUACCAGUGGCGAAGGCGGCCCCCUGGAUCGAUACUGACGCUGAGGUGCGAAAGCGUGGGGAGCAAACGGGAUUAGAUACCCCGGUAGUCCACGCCGUAAACGAUGUCUACUAGCCGUUGGGGGACUUGAUCCCUUAGUGGCGCAGCUAACGCACUAAGUAGACCGCCUGGGGAGUACGGUCGCAAGAUUA
rnacentral:rRNA from 1 species